rnacentral:rRNA from 1 species
AGAGUUUGAUCAUGGCUCAGAACGAACGCUGGCGGCGCGUUUUAAGCAUGCAAGUCGAGCGGUAAGCUAACUUCGGUUAGCCUAGAGCGGCGGACGGGUGAGUAACACGUGGAUAAUCUACCCCCUUGUUUGGGAUAGCCUGUGGAAACAUAGGGUAAUACCAAAUAAUACUCUUUUAUCACAAGAUAAGAGAAGGAAAGGCGCCUCAAAGCGUCGCAAGAGGAUGAGUCUGCGUCCCAUUAGCUAGACGGCAGGGUAAAAGCCUACCGUGGCAAUGAUGGGUAGCCGGCCUGAGAGGGUGAUCGGCCACAUUGGAACUGAGAUACGGUCCAGACUCCUACGGGGGGCAGCAGCUAAGAAUCUUCCGCAAUGGACGAAAGUCUGACGGAGCGACGCCGCGUGAACGAUGAAGGCCGUGAGGUUGUAAAGUUCUUUUCGGGAGGAGGAAUAAUGUUUGUAGGAAAUGACAAGCAGAUGACGUGAAUCCCGGAAUAAGCCCCGGCUAACUACGUGCCAGCAGCCGCGGUAACACGUAGGGGGCAAGCGUUGUUCGGAAUCAUUGGGCGUAAAGGGCGUGCAGGCGGUGUUGCAAGUCUGGCGUGAAAGAUCUCGGCUUAACCGAGGGAACGCGCUGGAAACUGUAAUACUAGAGUACAGGAGGGGACAUUGGAAUUCCAGGUGUAGGGGUGAAAUCUGUAGA